rnacentral:rRNA from 1 species
GAUGAACGCUGGCGGCGUGCCUAACACAUGCAAGUCGAGCGAAGAGACGAGGAGCUUGCUCCUCCGAGGUUGGCAGCGGAGGGGUGAUGAACACUUCGUCAACAUACCCAUAAGACUGGGAGAACAUUGGGGGACCGGAGCUAUUAUCGGAAAAUAUAUCGACGCGCAAGGUUCAAGAGUGAAAGACGGUUUUGCUGUCACUUAUGGCUGGAUCCGCGCCGCAUUAGCUAGUGGUUAAGGUAACGGAUUACCAAGGCAACGAUGCGUAGCCGCCCUGAGAGGGUGAUCGGCCACACUGGAACUGAGACACGGUCCAGACUCCGACGGGAGGCAGCAGUAGGGAAUCUUCCGGAAUGGGCGAAAGCCUGACCUAGCAACACCGCGUGAGUGAUGAAGGACUUCGGAUCGUAAAGCUCUGUUGGUAGGAAAGAAGAAAAGCGUAUUUAGCUGUGCACGUAUUGACGGUACCUAAAGAAGAAGCCCCGGCUAACUACGUG